UACGUAGGGCGCAAGCGUUGUCCGGAAUUAUUGGGCGUAAAGGGUGCGUAGGUGGUCGGGUAAGUCUGAUGUGAAAUCUCCGAGCUUAACUCGGAAAUGGCAUUGGAUACUAUUCGGCUAGAGGGUUUGAGGGGGGACUGGAAUACUUGGUGUAGCAGUGAAAUGCGUAGAUAUCAAGUGGAACACCAGUGGCGAAGGCGAGUCCCUGGAAAACUCCUGACACUGAGGCACGAAAGCUAGGGGAGCAAACAGG
rnacentral:rRNA from 1 species